GAAUUUUAUAUAAUUUUAUUAAGUUAGGUUUAUUUAGAGAAAGUAGUAAUAAAAUUAUAUUUAGUUGGGAGGAUUAUUAAAUUUAAUAAACUUUAAUUGAAAUAUGAUAUAAAUUAAUAGAUUUUUAGAAUGGUUAAUAAAUUAAGUAAGAAUUAAUUACCUUAGGGAUAACAGCGUAAUAUUUUUGGAGAGUUCAUAUUGAUAAGAAUGUUUGC
rnacentral:rRNA from 1 species